ACUCAAAUGGGGCAGUGUCUGGGAGGUGGAGCCCGUCGACAGGUUGGAAACAUCCAACAACUUCCAGAGACGGAAAUCAGUCGACUUCGGAAUGAACUGGAACAGGAGAGAACCACUGCACGAAGGUCACACACGGAAAUCAAUCGACUUCGGAAUGAACUGGAACAGGAGAGAACCGCCGCACGAAGGUCAGAGACGGAAA